rnacentral:lncRNA from 1 species
CGGGAAAUGACCUAAACAUCCGUCAACAGGCGUUGGUUAAAUACAUUAUGUCACAUUUAUGCAACUAAAUUUUAUGCAGCCUUUAAGAAGUAAAGAUCAUGACUGCUCCUCUUGGUUUGUGUCUUAGGCAUGCUUUGAAGAAGCAUGAGAGAAGUCUGUGAACAGAAGGGGUUGGGCCCCUCUGUCAGCACCCCUGGGUAGUUCUUGGGGAGGCAGGGAGGCCAGGAAGAGGGGAAGUGAGACUCAGCUCCAAGUAAUCCUGACCCAGGGGAGGGGAGGGUGCGACUGGCCAGCGGACAGCCUGAGCUCUGGCCCUGGCUCCAGGCUCUGGGUUUAAAGAGCUUUAAAAGCUUAUUAAAAAGGUUCCUUCGACAUCAAAUGGCUCUUAAAAAUCAAUAUUUUGAUGAUUUAAGUGCAAGAGAAUCAGAAACAUAUGGAUCAAAUUGCCCUAAAAUUAUACACACUUAAAAAAAUGUGUUGGUCUUUAGCAAGAUCCAAAUAUUUGAAAAACAGAGACAUUUUCCUCAUCUCCUGACAGAGCUCUGCUAGGUCAACUUGAGGAGUCCAGAGAGGUGACGAGGUCUCGCUCUGUUGCCCAGACUGGUCCUAAACUCCUGGCCUCAAGUACUCCUCCUGCUUGGGCCUUCCAAAUUGUUGGGAUCAUAGAUGCAGAAACCACGGCCCAGGGAAGACGCAGCUUGAGCAAGGUCACCGGCAGUUUCCUUUGCAGUAAAAUGGGAAUAAAAAGAAAAUCUACGUAACAGUAGAUAUUCUGUGAGGAUUACGUGAAUUCAUAUUUGAAGAGUGAGUAGAAGGGUUCCUGGCACAAGCUCUACAAGUGUGGCUGGAAUGAAUAUGAUGAUGAGGAUGAAGAUGAGGAUGGCGGGGCUGGAGCUCAAGUGCCAUACUGUGUCCUGGAGCAGAAGCCACGUGUUGAGGACAGUCUGGACCCUUAACGAGGGUUGAGCCACGACACCAGCCUGUGACUGUUUACCUCUUGAGUUUGUUUACAGGAGAAGAAAAUAAACUCUCACCUUGUUUAACACACCA